CCCUUAGACGUUCUGGGCCGCACGCGCGCUACACUGACCAGUGCAACAAGCAUCCGUCCUUGGCCGACAGGCUCGGGCAAUCUUUGAACGCUGGUCGUGAUGGGGAUAGACUUUUGCAAUUUUUGGUCUUCAACGAGGAAUUCCUAGUAAACGCAAGUCAUCAACUUGCAUUGAUUACGUCCCUGCCCUUUGUACACACCGCCCGUCGCACCUACCGAUUGAAUGGUCUGGUGAAGCCUCCGGAUUGGCGCGCACCUCGGUGCCGCCGAGAAGUUGGCUAAACCUUACCAUUUAGAGGAAGGUGAAGUCGUAACA
rnacentral:rRNA from 1 species